rnacentral:lncRNA from 1 species
UUCCCAUAAGCAUGCAAGGCAUCUUAUCAUGUUAUCUUAAAACAACAGCGGAAUAAUUAGUCAAUAAUUUAAAUCCAAAACAUAACGAUCUAAAUUUUUUUUUUUAUUGUCUCAAUAAAUUCAACAAUGAUUCAUAGGCAUUACAUCAAAUUCAAUAAGACUUUCAACCUAAAAUAAAAGUAUAGGGAUUCUACUUCUGAUCACUCUUCCAUUCAUAUC